rnacentral:tRNA from 1 species
GGGUGGUUAGCUCAGCUGGUAGAGCACUGGCCUCACAUGCCAGGGGUCGUGGGUUCAAAUCCCGCACCACCCACCA